AGUACCUAAUCCCAGCAAACAAAAAUAUUCAACAAGUCUCUGCGAAUUACGAUGAAGAAAAGAUGAAUUUUAAUUAAAAAGAGGUGACUAAAAUGUAAAGAGAUGAGUGGGAGGACUUGCCACAGAAGCAACAAAGACCGAGAAGGCUUGACUCCUUCUGGGCUCACCAAGGCUGGCAGUAUGGGGAGAAGCAGCAGCUGGUUUCGGCCUUCACAGCUCACAUCUUCCCAGGAGAGAGGUCCUGAGUUAUUGCCCUAAUCUUCUCAAAGCUGUUUCACAGACACAAGCAUCUGGCUCUACACUGCCCUGUGGAAGAGCUGCCUUGGGUGUAGGAAUAAGGUUGAAGACCCUUCCUGGAUUCUGAGAAUUACCACAAACUUGCAUUCCUGGAAUACAGGAUCUCAUUCUGUAGCCCAGGAUGAAGAGCAGUGGCAUAAUCAUAGCCCACUUCAGCUUUGACCUCUCAGUCUCAAGUGAUAGUCCCCCCACAGCCUCCUGAGUAGCUGGGACCACAGGCAUGCACCACCAUACCCAGAAGCCACUGUGGAAGAUGACGAAAGGAAAAUGAAUCACAGAUGAGGAAGAAACAAAAACAAAUGAAAUAAAGAAAACGAACGGACACAGACUUUAGGAAUGAUGUUUGAUUCCUAAUUAGGCUUGAUAUUACCAUGUUUGGUUACUGGUGUGUUUUCAUUCAUGUCUUUUGACCUGCUUAAAAAAGGAAAGAGGUCACUUCAAGGGAUCCACAUUUCAAUUUCAGUGUGUGGCACAAUUACUCUAUACUAAGAGUCUACUAGCCGUCAUUCCCACAGUAAGGCCUGGCUUGUUCGUACACUGGGUGCAUCUCUGAUCUAAUUUUAUUAUGGAUGACAGCAUGACAUUCAUUUCCACCACAUUCUACACCGCUCCAAUUCUGAACUUGGCAUGUAAUAGCCAUAAAAUAACAUGAGUAAAGAAGGGGACUCCUGCACAGAACUCUGGAAACCAAUGCCCAAUUUACGAGUCCAAGCAUGCAUGACUACUGUAAACCAGAAUGGUACUAAAACCAAUAGAUAUAUGAGAAGAAAAUGAAUAGUUACGUAAAGGUUUAUUGUAGACACUGGUUCAUUUUCAUAAUUUUAGGUUGAAUAUACCCAGCUGAUGAAAGCUUUGAAAAACUGAGUAUAAUUCCUUAUUAAAAUUAAAAGCACAACCUGUUUUUUUUGUUUGUUUGUUUUUUUGUUUUUUUUUUUUUUUG
rnacentral:lncRNA from 1 species